AAAAUAGAUACCCAGGUAGUCCACGCCGUAAACGAUGAGUGCUAGGUGUUGGGGGGGUCCACCCCUCGGUGCCGAAGUUAACACAUUAAGCACUCCGCCUGGGGAGUACGGUCGCAAGACUGAAACUCAAAGGAAUUGACGGGGACCCGCACAAGCAGUGGAGUAUGUGGUUUAAUUCGAAGCAACGCGAAGAACCUUACCAGGUCUUGACAUCCCUCUGAAUCCUCUAGAGAUAGAGGCGGCCUUCGGGACAGAGGAGACAGGUGGUGCAUGGUUGUCGUCAGCUCGUGUCGUGAGAUGUUGGGUUAAGUCCCGCAACGAGCGCAACCCUUGAAUUUAGUUGCCAGCACUUUAAGGUGGGCACUCUAGAUUGACUGCCGGUGACAAACCGGAGGAAGGCGGGGAUGACGUCAAAUCAUCAUGCCCCUUAUGACCUGGGCUACACACGUACUACAAUGGCCGGUACAACGGGCAGCGAAGGAGCGAUCCGGAGCCAAUCCUACCAAAGCCGGUCUCAGUUCGGAUUGCAGG
rnacentral:rRNA from 1 species